UCUGAGUUCCACUCCCAGUCCUGACUGCUGAAGUACUCCAGCAGGCCGAUGGCCUUGUGCAGCCGGUUGAAGAUACGCAUCAUCCUACACAGAGAGAGCGGAAUGGAGGAUCUCAGUCCAAAUGUGCUGCAUCAGCUGCACACCUUCCCCACCUGGCUGCAAUCAAGGCUGCUCAAACCAAGUUGAUCAUCACUUUUGAGACAUCUCCACAAGAUGAGAGCCAAGUGGAGGAAGAACCGUACGCGCAGGCUGAAGCGUUAAAGGUGGAAAAUGAGGCAGAGGUCCAAGUAGACUGGGCCCAUCCCCUACAGCUGUGAUACCCCUCCCAAGACCACUCUGGUGAUUGAAGCCUGCAGCCCAUGUGAACCAUGGUUGUCUGAAGCCAACCUCAUUGCAAUGGAGUAAAGGACAGAUCCUGGCUACCCAGCCCUCUACUAUGCUAAUGGAGGCUGGCCAGCAACAACUACUGGAGAAUGGCGAGGAAAACUUGAGAAAUUAUCUCCUGUCAUUGAACUCUGGACUUUUACCACCUGCCCAGCAUUUUAUUUGUUGUAAAGACUUGUAUACAUCUUUUGUUUAUUAACUACAAAAUAGAGAACCAUUUAUAUUGGUUAAACCCUUGUCUAUUAUGUUGUGGUACCGCCCCUUCACCUUCCAUUAUACCCAGACUAGAUGUAACACAGUAAAUGUAAGUCCGGGACACUCUUUAUUACAUGUUACUUUUGCCUUACGUAGACUAAUGUCUAGCAACCCAAAGGUUGUGUUUUAAUCUCCUCACAGACCAUUUUAGCUAAUUAGCAACUACAAUACUUAGCAUGUUGGCUAACUUUAACAUCACCCCCCCCCCCCCCCACCUUUGCCUCAUUAGCGUUAGUCAUCUAGCUAAUGUUAGCCACAACCAAUUGGAAUGCAAUAUAUCCCUUACAGUAACUGUAGUCAACUGUGGUAUUUUGGAUGUAGUAAUUGCUGCAUUUAUACUCUAGCCCAAUUGCAAUCUUUUUUCAUAAGGGAUGUUUUGCAAAUUCUUAACAUGCUGUAAGAUUUGCAAUUCAUGAAAUGAGACCUCUACAAAUGAAUACAUCUCAUCCUAAAUGGAGUGUCUUGGAUUUAAGUACAAAAUGCUCGGAGACCACGUGCCACACAUGACCCUUCGAAGAAUCAAAGCCGCACCAUGCUCCAGCACAUUUCUGUGGAUGAUCAACGCUCCAUCAUUUGUUCUAAGAUCUUAACUCUAAGUAGAACAAUAUUUUGGGAAGGGAUGAAAUAUUUUUUAGCCAGGAUUCUAUCUGAUCGUGAUUUGUUGGUUAUGUGCCAUUGAAAGGGAGAACAUGCUGUGUUUACCUUGAGCACUGCCUUUACAAGGUGCAUAGCUGACAACGGGUCAUGUUAUUGAAUCUCGGCCACAGUGAAUAUUCUACACUAACAAGAGUUGAAAGAUGGUUUUGGUGUUGAGGGUGUGUGUUCUUCGAUAGGGAAAGGUAACACAAGUAUACAUUUUUUGAAAAAGGACAUCAGCAAGAUUAGAUCCUGUGACCUUCUGGUCCCAAUCCCUGCGCCUAGUCCACUGCGCUAGUAGGGGGGAGGGUAGCAACUUUGUUUUUUCACGUAUUUAAUGCUGUUCCGUCGAAGUUUAAAAAAAACUAAGAUUAGAAAUGUAAUUAGUUAAAAAUGUUUGGUAAGGAAAUCAAAAUUCAGAACCAGGAUUCGAACUGGCAACCUUUUGGGUCAAAAUCCAUGUUGAAUGCCCUCCAUCCACCUCCAACCUACCUCCCUGAGAGCAUUUAUUUUAUUUGACUCUCAUCUGUAAACUCCACCCAUUGAUUUGAUAGUCUAAGCUCUGCCCACUUAGUUUUCAUCCAACCAAUCACAUUUGUUCUGCCCUAGAAAGUGGAGCUUCCCUCAGAACAAGAUUGAGGCCGGGGAUCAAUUCAUGGUGCUGUUAAAUGGUACAUUGUCGGGUGUCUAGUGCGCUGUUCUAUAACAAGCCUUGGAUUGAAUCCCAGCCUGAAUGAGGAAAACUCCUGAGCACUAUUCCAUGGCUCUUUCUCAAUUCAAGGGCUCCUUCAUCGAUUCCUUGGGAGAUUCUCUAUUGCACAAAAGUCCAGCCUCUCCUCAGUGAUAAGUGGUCAUGAAGAGUGUCAAUUCAUUUGCAAGCUAUCAGAGGAGUGUCAUCCAGUCCUCGAUAGCCUCCUCUCGCCAAGGAUAAUCAUAGCUGCUAGCGCCGAAGUGUUUUAAACUUUGCCACACCCCCUUUGAAUCAGCUGUUGUUUUCUCGAAGGAGAAAUACUUUACUUAUUCUUUUAUCUAUAGAAUGUAUUGCGCAAGUAGCUAUAUUAGUUUUUAUUACUUUGUAUUUUGUGAUUCCUCCUCUGUAAACGUUAUUUGCCUGAUGUCGAGCGAGUGAAUGACCAUCUAAUUUCUUGCAAGAGCAUUUCCCACCACGUUCCCUCUCCUUACUGCCGCUCCUCAAAUAUAUUGACCUUUUUCAAAACGGGGUGAGAAACGGACAGUGGACAGAAGGCGACCAAAACCAAUUAAGGUACCAGAAUGUUGAUAACAUAUCCAGCCAGCUAACCUCCAACUUCCCUAAACAGCCCCAUGGGCCCCCUAGACCCAGUUUGAUUAGCUUGAUUCUUAGCUCUUAUGUGGUCCGGUAGAUUAGUGCCCGCUAUCCCAGGUUUAUAACAGCGAGGCAGAGUGAUGAGCCCUAAUCCCUCUGCCAGCCAUCUGGUGGCAAUUUCCCAGAGUGAAAGGAGCAGAUUCACUAAUCUGAUAGUAUAGGGACCCUGGCUGUCGCCCGCUACCGCGCUAAUCUGAGCCUGACAGAUACCCGGCCUGCAUGCAUCCUUUUCAUCUCAUCACUGGGAUAUACUGUAGAUGAUGGGCUGGGAGGUGAGCUGCCUCCACAACCAAAAUGCUGGUGGGGGUGAUGAUUUCAUGAUGACACUUUGCCUCUACUUGUUAUUGUUUGGGCAACUGUGCUUUACUGCUGAUGGGAGUUGUCAUUUGGGCAGAUCCACAGUGGUGAGGUCAAACAGAUGUAAUGUUCUACUAGCUGCCAGAAGGUGGCAGUAAACCCUCACCACUGUCAAAUCCCUGGGCAUCUAAUUAUGACAGAUCAUUUAUCCACCUGCUUCCCACUGCUACACCAUUCAAACUGAUUUAGGAGAACCAGGACUGACAGACAACCCACCGUUUCAUAUCCCUGGUGGGAAUGUAUGAUGCAUAGUGACAACACCAUCAACCAAAUGGAUCACUAGUCACUUUAAUAAUGCCACUUUAAUAAUGUUUACAUAUCUUGCAUUACUCAUCUCAUAUGUA